rnacentral:rRNA from 1 species
AAUGAACGUUGGCGGCGUGGAUUAGGCAUGCAAGUCGAGCGCGAACCCCGCAAGGGGUGAAAGCGGCGAAAGGGAGAGUAACGCGUGGGUAUUUACCCUCGGGACUGGGAUAGCUGCGGGAAACUGCAGGUAAUACCAGAUGACGUCCCCGGACCAAAGGUGUGAUUCCGCCUGAGGAUAAGCCCGCGUCCUAUUAGCUAGUUGGUGAGGUAAUGGCUCACCAAGGCAAUGAUGGGUACUGGGUGUGAGAGCACGACCCAGCUAACUGGGACUGGGACACUGCCCAGACACCUACGGGUGGCUGCAGUCGGGAAUCUUCGGCAAUGGGCGCAAGCCUGACCGAGCGACGCCGCGUGUGGGAUGAAGGCCCUCGGGUUGUAAACCGCUGUCAGAGGGGAGGAAUGGGCGGAGGGUAAUCUCUUCGUUUUGACCUAUCCUCAGAGGAAGUACGGGCUAAGUUCGUGCCAGCCGCCGCAGUAA